CUUAUCUCAAAUAUCUGUCAUGGAUAAAUAAAGUUAUUUAAAUCAAUUUGACAUCAAAAUUAUUUCGAUACCUGUAAAAUAUCGGCGUUCGUGUUCAUUUGAAAAUCGCUCGUGCAAGAAUCGAAUUUGCCUAAUAGUUGUCAAGACAAGAUAAUACAGCUCGCUUUCCAAGUUUAGAGGCAGUUAUGAUCUAGAAUAUGUUUCAAUGCGUAAAAUUGUGAUAAUAUUAUCACUACACCUUGCUACAGCAUUUGGAUAUGGUAUUCAUCAGUACGUAUGGUUGUUAUUGUCAUAACAUGCAGGGACGGAUCUAGGUUCAUAUCAUAAUGAAACGUGACCGGGUGCAAUAUAGAAAAAACUGGAUUGCUGCUAAUAAAGCUUUAAGAUGCAGUGAUGCAAUGCCUAAUGAUGAUGGCUGUAGUAAUCUGUUCAAUAAUGUUUUUGAUAAUGACCUUGGACAUUCACAACCUUUACAAAAAAUCAACUUGAACCAUUGACAGUCCUAAACAAAGUUCUUUCUCUUUAAAAGUUGGUCUUAAUGAUUGUGAUAUUGGGGAAAAUGACUGUGCUGUUUCUGGUGAAGUUGAUAUUUUAGAAGUUUCUUUUUGCCAUGGGAAAUCUG